AGAACGAACGCUGGCGGCAUGCCUAACACAUGCAAGUCGAACGUGAUCCAGGCUUCGGCCUGGUGAAAGUGGCAGACGGGUGAGUAACGCGUGGGAACCUGCCCUGUGGUAGGGAAUAACCGUGGGAAACUGCGGCUAAUACCCUAUGAGUCCUUCGGGAGAAAGAUUUAUCGCCAUAGGAGGGGCCCGCGUCGGAUUAGGUAGUUGGUGGGGUAACGGCCUACCAAGCCUUCGAUCCGUAGCUGGUCUGAGAGGAUGAUCAGCCACACUGGGACUGAGAUACGGCCCAGACUCCUACGGGAGGCAGCAGUGGGGAAUAUUGGACAAUGGGGGCAACCCUGAUCCAGCAAUGCCGCGUGGAUGAUGAAGGCCUUCGGGUUGUAAAGUCCGUUUCGGCGGGGAAGAGUGAUGACGGUACCGCAGAAGAAGCCCCGGCUAACUCGUGCCAGCAGCCGC
rnacentral:rRNA from 1 species